GACGAACGCUGGCGGCGUGCUUAACACAUGCAAGUCGAGCGGAAAGGCCACUUCGGUGGUACUCGAGCGGCGAACGGGUGAGUAACACGUGAGUAAUCUGCCCUUGGCUUUGGGAUAGCCACCGGAAACGGUGAUUAAUACCGGAUAUGACCACUCUAGGCAUCUAGUGGUGGUGGAAAGUUUUUCGGCCAGGGAUGUGCUCGCGGCCUAUCAGCUUGAUGGUGAGGUAAUGGCUCACCAUGGCUUCGACGGGUAGCCGGCCUGAGAGGGUGAACGGUCACACUGGGACUGUGACUCGGCCCAGACUCCUGCGGGAGGCAGCAGUGGGGAAUAUUGGACAAUGGGCGGAAGCCUGAUCCAGCAACGCCGCGUGAGGGAUGACGGCCUUCGGGUUGUAAACCUCGUUCGGUAGGGACGAAGCGUGAGUGACGGUACCUACUAAAGAAGCACCGGCCAACUACGUGCCAGCAGCCGCAGUAACAC
rnacentral:rRNA from 1 species